rnacentral:rRNA from 1 species
CGGGGUCUCGGCCCCCUACUCUUCACCCUUUGCGUACAUACCUUUGUUGCUUUGGCGGACCCGAGGAUCCUCUCGCGCCGACUCUGAGGUUGGCGAGUGUCCGUCAGAGGCCCAUCUCGUCCUAUCUAUCAGUGAAGUCCGAGCCCACAACACAAUGAAUCAAAACUUUCAACAACGGAUCUCUUGGUUCCAGCAUCGAUGAAGAACGCAGCGAAAUGCGACAAGUAAUGUGAAUUGCAGAACUCAGUGAAUCAUCGAAUCUUUGAACGCACAUUGCGCCCCUCGGCAUCCCGGGGGGCAUGCCUGUUCGAGCGUCAUUGCACCCCUCAAGCCCAGCUUGGUAUUGGGACUUCGUCCCCGUGGCGUGCCCGAAAAACAGUGGCGGUCCGGCGUGACUUUGAGCGUAGUAAACUUCUCCCGCUCUGAAGCUCCCGACGCGGCCGGCCAGAUAACCCCUUUGCUUCUAUAAUUGACCUCGGAUCAGGCAGGGAUACCCGCUGAACUUAAGCAUAUCAAUAAGCGGAGGAAAAGAAACCAACA